GGACGAACGCUGGCGGCGUGCCUAACACAUGCAAGUCGAGCGGAGGUAUUCAAGGAGCAAUCUGCGGAUACUUUAGCGGCGGACGGGUGAGUAACGCGUGAGCAACCUGCCUUUCACAGGGGGAUAAGGCGGCGAAAGCCGCUCUAAUACCGCAUGAGACCCCGGUGGUGAUACCACAGCGGUCAAAGGAGCAAUCCGGUGAGAGAUGGGCUCGCGUCCGAUUAGGUAGUUGGUGGGGUAAAGGCUCACCAAGCCAAUGAUCGGUAGCCGGCCUGAGAGGGUGAACGGCCACAUUGGAACUGAGAGACGGUCCAAACUCCUACGGGAGGCAGCAGUGGGGAAUAUUGGGCAAUGGGGGAAACCCUGACCCAGCAACGCCGCGUGAGGGAAGAAGGUUUUCGGAUUGUAAACCUCUGUUCUUGGGGAAGAGCAGAAGACGGUACCCAAGGAGGAAGCCCCGGCUAACUACGUGCCAGCAGCCGCGGUAAUACGUAGGGGGCGAGCGUUGUCCGGAAUGAUUGGGCGUAAAGGGCGCGUAGGCGGCUGUGUAAGUCAGUAGUGGAAGUCCAGCUUUUAAGGUUGGAAGUGCUAUUGAAACUGUGCAGCUUGAGUGCAGGAGAGGUUAUCGGAAUUCCCGGUGUAGCGGUGAAAUGCGUAGAGAUCGGGAGGAACACCAGUGGCGAAGGCGGGUAACUGGACUGCAACUGACGCUGAGGCGCGAAAGUGUGGGGAGCAAACAGGAUUAGAUACCCUGGUAGUCCACACUGUAAACGAUGAAUGCUAGGUGUAGGGGGUAUCGACCCCUUCUGUGCCGGAGUAAACACAAUAAGCAUUCCGCCUGGGGAGUACGGUCGCAAGAUUAAAACUCAAAGGAAUUGACGGGGGCCCGCACAAGCAGCGGAGCAUGUGGUUUAAUUCGAAGCAACGCGAAGAACCUUACCAGGUCUUGACAUCCAGGUAAAGCUGCAGAGAUGCAGUGUGUGCUUGCACAAUCUGAGACAGGUGGUGCAUGGUUGUCGUCAGCUCGUGUCGUGAGAUGUUGGGUUAAGUCCCGCAACGAGCGCAACCCCUAUUGCCAGUUGCUAACAGGAGAGCUGAGCACUCUGGCGAGACUGCCGCCGACAAGGCGGAGGAAGGUGGGGAUGACGUCAAGUCAUCAUGGCCUUUAUGCCCAGGGCUACACACGUGCUACAAUGGCCGGCACAGACGGCAGCUUAGUGGCGACACUUGGCCAAUCCUCCAAAGCCGGUCCCAGUUCGGAUUGCAGUCUGCAACUCGACUGCAUGAAGUCGGAAUCGCUAGUAAUCGCAGAUCAGCAAAGCUGCGGUGAAUACGUUCCCGGGCCU
rnacentral:rRNA from 1 species